rnacentral:tRNA from 1 species
UUAAUUGAAACCAAAGCUAGCGGUGUAUUACUGUUAAUAAUAUUAUUGAAAUUCAUUUCCAAUUAAG